rnacentral:lncRNA from 1 species
AUUUUCAGUUCUGUUAACUCCAGAAGAUGAAGUCUGAUGAAAGAGAAAACCGAUGCAGCAGUGUCAGUUAAUUCAGAGCCCAGGGCUGCUUUCAAAAGUGGGGCUUAGUAUGACCCCAGAGACAGCCGACUUCAACUCAAAUGACCUUGGAAUCUGACAGAGGGCAUUUCAGUUUCAGAAAUCUUUUGCAACAUACAUGUAACUAUUUCAUGAAAAAGUUUUUGGAAAGCUCAACAACUGCAUCACGCAUCGUUCUCUGCUGAGCAUUUUCAUCUGCAACCUGAUGAUGACUGGACUAGGAAUCGUCUCGUAAAGGGCACCUUGGUGGUGCGUGGAGCUGCCGACGGGCACUUUGCAGCUGAGCACGCACGUUCCUGGUCAGAAACCCACCGCUCUCCUCCUGACACUGGCUUUUGCCAACCAAGGGAGGAAGCUGUCCAUCAAGGGAGGCGGAGAGAAGCGCCUGCCCACUGGAGAUGUGCACGGCAGCCCCACACCCCUGGCUGGAGGUGCUUCCCUUACAGGAGCUCACUCCUUGCCUUGGCAGCUGCUCCCAGAGGGAGAACAGGCUGCUCCCUUGGAGGUGCCAGGGACAGUCACCCCUGGCCUGUGCAUC